rnacentral:rRNA from 1 species
AUUGAACGCUGGCGGCAUGCUUUACACAUGCAAGUCGAACGGCAGCGCGGGGCAACCUGGCGGCGAGUGGCGAACGGGUGAGUAAUAUAUCGGAACGUACCCAGAAGUGGGGGAUAACGUAGCGAAAGUUACGCUAAUACCGCAUACGAUCUACGGAUGAAAGUAGGGGACCGCAAGGCCUUAUGCUUUUGGAGCGGCCGAUAUCUGAUUAGCUAGUUGGUGAGGUAAAGGCUCACCAAGGCGACGAUCAGUAGCUGGUCUGAGAGGACGACCAGCCACACUGGAACUGAGACACGGUCCAGACUCCUACGGGAGGCAGCAGUGGGGAAUUUUGGACAAUGGGCGCAAGCCUGAUCCAGCAAUGCCGCGUGAGUGAAGAAGGCCUUCGGGUUGUAAAGCUCUUUUGUCAGGGAAGAAACGGUAGAGGCUAAUAUCCUUUGCUAAUGACGGUACCUGAAGAAUAAGCACCGGCUAACUACGUGC